rnacentral:rRNA from 1 species
AUUGAACGCUGGCGGCAGGCCUAACACAUGCAAGUCGAGCGAGCGGCGGACGGGUGAGUAAUGUAUGGGGACUGCCCGAUAGAGGGGGAUAACUACUGGAAACGGUAGCUAAUACCGCAUACUAUCGGAUAACCCAUAGGGGAUUAGCUAGUAGGUGAGGUAAUGGCUCACCUAGGCGACGAUCCCUAGCUGGGCUGAGAGGAUGAUCAGCCAAACUGGGACUGAGACACGGCCCAGAAGCCUACGGAGGCAGCAGUGGGGAAUGUUGGACAAUGGGGGAAACCCUGAACCAGCCAGCCCGCGUGUAUGAUGAAGGCCUUCGGGUUGUAAAGUACUGUUGGCAGAGAAGCGGUAUCUGCAGAAUAAGCACCGGCUAAAUACGUGCCAGCAGCCGCGGUAAUUC